GCGGCUGAGGUGUGUAUUAGGAGGUUAUGCAGUGGCUGAGGUGUGUAUUAGGAGGUUCUGCAGCGGCUGAGGUGUGUAUUAGGAGGUUCUGCAGCGGCUGAGGAGUGUAUUAGGAGGUUCUACAGCAGAUGAGGUAUGUAUUGGGAGGUUAUGCAGCAGAGGAGGUGUGUAUGAUG